rnacentral:lncRNA from 1 species
CAUGAGACAGGCAGAGCAGCAGGUGUUGGAACAGUUGUUAGGUAAUGUCUAUCUGUGGUUUAUGACGUUGGGACAACGACACUCUGGACCACUAGCAGGAUGUGAAGCCUUCGUCAGGUGAGGAGCAGAAAGGAGAGGGGUGUUCUGUAGAGAGGAGAGGAGAGGGGAUGAGAAGGGGGCACAGCCUGGGUGCAAUCUAGAGGCCUGAAGGUGAGCUUCUGUUUGCUGAGGUGUCACACGGUUCCUGCCUUUGAUCAACAGUGUAGUGUCAGGAAAGUGAGGACCAUGUUAGCUGUUAGCUGUUGGUUUGUCUUGGUCUUGAUAGAUUCUUAAAGGUUCCUAGAAUUCUUUUAGGUUCCUAGAAUGCUUUUAGGUUAUUAGAAUGCUUUUAGGUUAUUAGAAUGCUUUUAGGUUCCUAGAAUGCUUUAAGGUUAUUAGAAUGCUUUUAGGGUCAUAGAAUGCUUUUAGGUUCUUAGAAUGCUUUUAGGUACUUAGAAUGCUUUUAGGUUCCCAGAAUUCAUUGCAGAGAAGGGAAAGAUGUAGUAAGGUAGAAUUUAAAAUGUUCAGUGGAGCCAGCUUUCUGGAUGGAGUUUAGUAGAGUGCAUCAAGGAUAGACUGUCUGAAUGACCCAUUUCCACACUACGGUGGAGACAAGGAAGACUCUGGGAUGUGGAUGAGACCAUGAAUCGCAGUAAAGGAACAAGAGGACGAUGUGGGACUCUGAAGUCAUGGCUCCAAAAUAUCAUCUCCACUGCCCUCCUGUCUCUCUUUCUUUCUUUCUUCCUCUCCUCACCCCUGUCCUAUCUCCUUCCUCCUCCUCUCUCUCCCUUCCUCCCAUUCUCCCCCCCUCUCGCUUUCCCUCUCGUCCUGAACUGCACGCCUUGCUGUGGCUGGUCAAACGGAACCAAGUCAGGUGUUUUAGUGAGGUUUGGUCCCCUUCAACCAGCUACUGCGUCGUGAACUCAGUCAGCAGACAUCCACAGCGGGAUUGACAGACAGAGUGUCCACUGCUACUACUGUACUACUGUAGCCUACUGCUGCUGCUUGUGUGUCUGAAUCACGUCAAAUUCAUCUACUUUUUGUACCACUAUGGAUGACUUUUUUUUUAUAGAUGUUUCUGUUACGUACAUUUUUAUGUUGUGUUUCAAAAAUAAAGAAUUAAAGAUGUG